CUUGCGACCAUAUCACGUUCUAACACCGGCCCCCGUACGAACACCAAAGUUUAGCAACUUCAAGCCUUGUUUGUACCUAGAUGGAUAACCGCUUAGGAGUACCAGGUGCUGUAAG